rnacentral:rRNA from 1 species
GACGAACGCUGGCGGCGUGCUUAACACAUGCAAGUCGAACGGAAAGGCCCUGCUUUUGUGGGGUGCUCGAGUGGCGAACGGGUGAGUAACACGUGAGUAACCUGCCCUUGACUUUGGGAUAACUUCAGGAAACUGGGGCUAAUACCGGAUAGGAGCUCCUGCUACAUGGUGGGGGUUGGAAAGUUUCGGCGGUUGGGGAUGGACUCGCGGCUUAUCAGCUUGUUGGUGGGGUAGUGGCUUACCAAGGCUUUGACGGGUAGCCGGCCUGAGAGGGUGACCGGCCACAUUGGGACUGAGAUACGGCCCAGACUCCUACGGGGGGCAGCAGUGGGGAAUAUUGCACAAUGGGCGGAAGCCUGAUGCAGCAACGCCGCGUGCGGGAUGACGGCCUUCGGGUUGUAAACCGCUUUCGCCUGUGACGAAGCGUGAGUGACGGUAAUGGGUAAAGAAGCACCGGCUAACUACGUG